UACAAGGUGCGCAAGCCGCACGUCUUUGUGACGUGGCAGUGGGGAGUGGGGAGGUGAGGUGAGGUGGCAGCAGGGUGAUGAGGUGGCGACGAACGGUCAGCCAGGGUUAGUUGCUGUCCGCCCCUACCUGAAGUGUGUUGUGAUGGAUCACUGGAUGUAACAUUUAUUCAAGACUUGGGAUUAUUGUAUUAUGCUGUUUAUGAAUCCAAUUACUGGUUCGGAAAGUUCAUGGAGGCAAUCCAUAUGCGGCUGGAGCUACCGUCAGGGCGUGGGGGCGGGGCGGCCACAGUGCGCCACUUCACUAUGUUUAGACAGGAGAGCGGCAUGGCAGCAAGACAGUGUCAUUGGGAAGCGUUAUCGUGUGUAUUGGUAGACACGUCGAUUUGUAUCUCAAGCCUCAUCUCACGUCAUGGAGUGUGUGGGUCUGUCUGCGUGUGUAAAGGUGGACGUGGUGAUUGCGCCUCAAGCUUCACCACUUGUCAUGUACUCUGCCUGCCUCUUGAUGCACCUGUGUAAAGGUUGUUGUGUCGUUUAUUGUUUGUCAUGUAUUCUACCUGUCUCUUUAUUCACCUGUGUAAAGGUUGUUGCAUCGACCAAUGACUCAACUUUAUUAUUUGCCAUGUAUUCUACCUGUCUCUUUAUUCACCGGUAUAAAGGUUGACGGGUUGAUCUAUGUAUACCUCAAACUUCACCCCUCAUGUACUCUUUUUGUCUACAUGAUUCACUGCAGUAAAUAAGAUAAUAAAAUAUGGGAAGCUGUAAGAAGCCAUCAGGCCUAGACGUGACGGUCUCUGUUCAAAACACACUUAUUUUCACCUCUCAUCACCAUCCAUACAUUUGUCUAGUUGCCAUAACGGAGAAAAAGAAAGUUAUGCAGUUAAUUUGUAGUUAGUAAGAUUGCGUGUUAUCUUGGUCCU